CCUACGGGGGGCUGCAGUGGGGAAUAUUGGGCAAUGGGCGAAAGCCUGACCCAGCGACGCCGCGUGGGCGAUGAAGGCCUUCGGGUUGUAAAGCCCUGUCAUGCGGAAAGAACGACCCUGUGACGCAUACUCACAGGGAGUGACGGUACCGCAGGAGGAAGCACCGGCUAACUCCGUGCCAGCAGCCGCGGUAAUACGGAGGGUGCAAGCGUUGGUCGGGAUUGUGGGGCCUAUAAUGCGCGUAGGCGGUGAAAUACUCCGGCUCAACUGGGGAACUGCAUCUGAAACUGCAUAACUAGAGUACAGAAGAGGGAAACGGAAUUCCCGGUGUAGAGGUGAAAUUCGUAGAUAUCGGGAGGAACACCAGUGGCGAAGGCGGUUUCCUGGUCUGAUACUGACGCUGAGGCGCGAAAGUGUGGGGAGCAAACAGGAUUAGAUACCCUAGUAGUC
rnacentral:rRNA from 1 species